rnacentral:lncRNA from 1 species
GGCCUGAUUCUGAGGUCGGAGCCCAGAUAUGCGGUUUACCCGAUACGCGCGUCGCUCCAGCUGCUCUUCAACUGCUUCCGACGUCACCCCGAGGAGCCCGUCUCCAAUCAACUGGGUGCCGGAAAGGAGCGGGACCGACGCACUGCCGGAAUUAUCGGGGGGUUUUUUCGCGUUCAAUUGUCGUUAGGUAGGCCAUUUGGCGUGGCUUAUAUACUUUUAGGCGUUGUAAGCUAACGGAUGCGAUCAUACCAACUCACAUGCACCGGAUCCCAUCAGAACUCCGAAGUUAAGCGAGUUUGGGCGAGAGUAGUACUAGGAUGGGUGACCUCCUGGGAAGUCCUCGUGUUGCAUCCCCUCUUUUUGUCUUUUUGACGUUUCAAUUGUCGUGGGCGUUUGCUUUCCGUCGUCUUAUUCAUCUGGCUGUCUUUGUUUUUCCACGACCCCGUGACGCAGCGUGGCAAUCGGGGAUAAAGUACGCUUAAAUACUCCCAGAAAGCCCACAACGGAAUCAAAAUACGAAAGUGACAAAGUUUCCCGAAACUGAAUUUCGCCCCAGCAAACGGUGUCGGAUGCCCGAAAAAGCCCGUCAGUCAUGGCAGCGCGAUGAGUUUUACUCGUGACGCCGUUCUCUUCGAAUCGACUGCUCGUGGGCCUGAUUCUGAGGUCGGAGCCCAGAUAUGCGGUUUACCCGAUACGCGCGUCGCUCCAGCUGCUCUUCAACUGCUUCCGACGUCACCCCGACGAGCCCGUCUCCAAUCAACUGGGUGCCGGAAAGGAGCGGGACCGACGCACUGCCGGAAUUAUCGGGGGUUUUUUCGUGUUCAAUUGUCGUUAGGUAGGCCAUUUGGCGUGGCUUAUAUACUUUUAGGCGUUGUAAGCUAACGGAUGCGAUCAUACCAACUCACAUGCACCGGAUCCCAUCAGAACUCCGAAGUUAAGCGAGUUUGGGCGAGAGUAGUACUAGGAUGGGUGACCUCCUGGGAAGUCCUCGUGUUGCGUCCCCUCUUUUUGUCUUUUUGACGUUUCAAUUGUCGUGGGCGUUUGCUUUCCGUCGUCUUAUUCAUCUGGCUGUCUUUGUUUUUCCACGACCCCGUGACGCAGCGUGGCAAUCGGGGAUAAAGUACGCUUAAAUACUCCCAGAAAGCCCACAACGGAAUCAAAAUACGAAAGUGACAAAGUUUCCCGAAACUGAA